rnacentral:rRNA from 1 species
GAUGAACGCUGGCUACAGGCCUAACACAUGCAAGUCGAGGGGAAACGGCAUUGCGUGCUUGCACUGAAUGGACGUCGACCGGCGCACGGGUGAGUAACGCGUAUCCAACCUUCCCGUUACUGCGGGAUAACCUGCCGAAAGGCAGACUAAUACCGCAUGUUCUUCGAUGACGGCAUCAGAUUCGAAGCAAAGAUCCGUCGGUAACGGAGGGGGAUGCGUCUGAUUAGCUAGUUGGCGGGGCGACGGCCCACCAAGGCGACGAUCAGUAGCGGUUCUGAGAGGAAGCUCCACCACAUCGGAAAUGCGACACAGACCAAACUCCGAGGGGGGGGAGGAGAAAGGAGGAUUAGUGAAGGAGCGGAAGUCUGAACCAGCCAAGUAGCGUGCAGGAGGACGCGCCUACGGGUUGUAAACUGCUUGUAAGCGGGGAUAAAGUGAGGGACGCGUCCCUUUUUGCAGGUACCGCAUGAAUAAGGACCGGCUAAUUCCGUG